rnacentral:rRNA from 1 species
UACGUAGGGUGCGAGCGUUAAUCGGAAUUACUGGGCGUAAAGCGUGCGCAGGCGGUUGUGCAAGACAGAUGUGAAAUCCCCGGGCUUAACCUGGGAACUGCAUUUGUGACUGCACGGCUAGAGUGUGUCAGAGGGGGGGGUAGAAUUCCACGUGUAGCAGUGAAAAUGCGUAGAUAUGUGGAGGAAUACCGAUGGCGAAGGCAGCCCCCCUGGGAUAACACUGACGCUCAUGCACGAAAGCGUGGGGGAGCAAAACAGGG